rnacentral:rRNA from 1 species
AUUUUAUUUCUAGUGAUUGGAAUGAUGGGAAUUUAAACCCCUUUCAGAGUAACAAUUGGAGGGCAAGUCUGGUGCCAGCAGCCGCGGUAAUUCCAGCUCCAAUAGCGUAUAUUAAAGUUGUUGCAGUUAAAAAGCUCGUAGUUGGAUGUCUGCUGGAAGCAAUCAGUCCGCCCUAUUUGUAGGGUGUGCACUUGAUGAAUUCUGGCAUCUAUGUCCUAAUGUGAUAGAUACGGCGGUGUAUAUGGGUUAAUCCUAUAUACCCGUUUUUGUAUAUUAUAUUGGGAUAAUACCGUUACUUUGAGAAAAUUAGAGUGUUUGAAGCAGGCUAAUUGCCUUGAAUACUGCAGCAUGGAAUAACAAUAUAGGAUUUCGGUUCUAUUUUGUUGGUUUCUAGGACUGAAAUAAUGAUUAAUAGGGACAGUUGGGGGCAUUCGUAUUUAACUGUCAGAGGUGAAAUUCUUAGAUUUGUUAAAGACGAACUACUGCGAAAGCAUUUGCCAAAGAUGUUUUCAUUAAUCAAGAACGAAAGUUAGGGGCUCGAAGACGAUCAGAUACCGUCGUAGUCUUAACCAUAAACUAUGCCGACUAGAGAUAGGAAAAUGUCAUUUUUCUGACUU